GGACUAUCCCCUUUUCUAUUCUCUGGCCUUGUGGAUGAGAUUGGCACAUGUUUGAUACAGAGUGAACAUCUGUUGAAUGAGUAUCAGUGGAGCCAUCUCUAGCUAUUUAAGUGGAUUACAGGUUCUUUAGAAUGCUGAAUGGCAUGAAACAUCAUUCACAGUGAACUAAGAAGCCUGUGUGUCAACAAUGAGAUGUCACUCACAACAGGCAGGUCUCCCCAAGAAGCUGGUAUCAGAGACAAAUCCAGUUGAGUGAUGCUUCCUGUGAACAAGGUCCAUUCUUGAGCGUGGAAGUGCUCCGUGGUGAGAGGUGGAAAGGCUGAUCAAGCCAUCUUCAUCUGGUGGGCUUGUGCCUCCUCUUUGCAGUUGUGAAAUAAAAUUCAUGCUUAAAACUUC